CUCUGGUGGCACCGCGCCCAGCACUUCGGGCUCUUGGUGGCGGCCGAGCUGCGGGACCAGAGAUCCCCCCACUCGGCACCCCUGCUCCUGCCGAGUGAACAGGACUCCUGGCUACUCUGCACUGGCUUUCUAACUUUCUGAUGGGGGUGCAGUCCUUUGCAUUCCAGGGGUCACAGCAACACCCGCAUCGCCCGUUCUCAGCCGCAGGGUCUCCGCCUGCAUCACUCGACUCUAAAAUUUCCUUCCCUAGUGCACGGAACUGCUGUCCAGGACUCUGCUCUCCGACUACCUCAGGGAGGAUUCUGUUUUGGGAAAAGUAAGCCAAAACCUAUUGAUAAGGGUUCAAAAAUGUUUCACUUUUUUCUCUCUCUGUCGGAUAAAUCGGUCAACUCUAGAUUUCAGGUCCCUUCUGAAUUGACUCAGUUAAGGUGAAUGGUUGUGAAUGAGGUCCCUUAGAGUUCUGUGUUUCUGUGCCUUUAAUACUAAGAUUUAGUCCAGGACAUGUAAACCAGUUUAGAAUGGAAAAGCUUUAAGUACAAACAGAUUAACACACGUGACCAUGUGUUUGCUUUAGUCUGAGUGUAGAACUCAAAUUUCUGCAGUAUUUAAUUUCUACAGUUUCCUUCUGAGCAGAAAAAGAAUACCAUAAAAAUAUUUGCAAACAUUAUAUAUGGUGAUCUAGGGUCACGUCUCCAAGUUCUAAGCUUCUGUGGCUCCACGCACACAGGUUCCCUAAUGUUUACUAUGCAUCUGUCACUGUUCUGUUCUAUUAGAUUGCCUUAACUAUAGGCUUGUCCUAACGUAACCAUCCAAACCUAAGGAAGGAGAAACUUAAGUGACUCUGUGAACUUAGUGAAGUGACCAGAUUUAGGAAGGCUAAAACCCAGAGGAAAUAAAAUGGAAAACUUGAAGGUGACAAAUUAAAGUGGAAAAAUAGAUUAAUUUUUUUAAACUUUAUUGUCCUGAGAAACAAAUCUAUAAAUUCAUUAAUUUUAUUUUAGAGACUAUCUCUAGAUUCCUGGAAAUGAAGGAUUCAUUAUACUCUUAGAUCAGAUAUAAUACUGAUUUCUGUGUAUACGUUAAUAAACUUUUUUAGAACAAGUUCCAUUUCUUUUAUUUUUUUCUUCCCUUCUUUCACAGGUGUUGAUCCAUUUCUAAUUCAUCUUUGUUUCUUCAUAAUGGAGUGUUGUGCCAGAGAUGGCAUCUCACCAUGUUGAACUCGUGGCCUCAAGCGAUCCUCCUGCCUCAGCCUCCCAGUGCUGAGAUUACAGGCAUAAGCCACCAUGCCCAGUCUCUCUUUUCCCUUCUAUGGCCACAGCUGAAGAUGGCAGAACCACAAGUUAGGAGUCUUAGUUUCUGAAUUGGAACUCUUGGAGAAGAACCAUCUAGAAUAACUAUUUUGUACUUUACAUGAACGAAGCAGACUCUUCGGUUAUGUUUAGCUGUCAGCUUUAUCGUAAAACAUACUUGGGAUUCAUUGAUGAACAAGACAAGCUGGCACCUGUAGUCCCAGCACUUUGGGAGGCCAAGGCAGGAGAAUGGCUUGAGGCCGGGAUUUGCAGAUGAAACUGGGCAACGUAGCAAGACACUGUCUUUACAAAAAAUAAAGAAAAAUUAGCCAGGCACGGUGGCAUCCACCUGUAGUUGCAGCUGCUCAGGAGACUGAGGAGGAAGGAUCGCUUGAGCUCAGGAGUUCGAGGCUGCAGUGAACUAUGAUAUGAUAGUGCCACAGCAUUCAUAAUCAUCUCAUCUGCUUGCCUUGCUUGUUGAUUGGUUGCAUGUUUCUCUCAUAAGUGCAGGGACCUCAUAUCUCUGUCUAUUCACUUCUGUGUGCCCAUCAUCUAUUAUAUUGCUGGCAUAGAGAAGGCCUUUGCUAUAAACUUAUAGAAACUUGGAUAAAUGAAAGGCACCAGGCUAAGACAAGCAUGAUACCUGCCCUUUUGGACCUUACAGUAUAGAGUAGGGAAAAGAUAUUAAGUCAGUAGUGAAUAUACAAUUACAAAUCUGUUGAGUAUGAUUAAAGAAUAGAGUGCUGUGAGAGAAGGGAGAAGUAAAUUAAAUUGAGACCUGAAAGAAGAGUAGACAUUAGCCAAACUAAGUCAUGAAGAACUUUCCAGGCAAAGUCUCUUGGGGUAGGGGGAAGCUUGGCAAGUUUCAGGAAACAAAACAAGGCAGUGUGGCUGAAAGGAUCAAGGAGAAUGGUGCCAGUCAGGAUGAAGAGGGAGCUAGGAACCAGAUCAUUCAGACUCUCGUAGGCCAUGUUAGGGGGUUGCAAUUUCAUCGUAAUAACAAUGGAAAUUCAUUGAAAGGUUUUAAAAGUGGGGGAUAAAGUGAUCAAAUUGGUGAUUUUAAAAUAAUCCCUCUGUUACAUGGAGAAUGGAUUGGAGGGGGAGAAGUGAGGAUGUGGCAAAACAUUUUAAGAAAUUUAUUACAACAGCGCAGGAUGGCUUGGUCAGGUCCAGGGCCACCAAGCAAGGUUGUGGAGAUCGUGGCACAAGGGAGCAAGUGUGGCUGAAAUCCAGCCCCACUGUCUGCCCAAAAGAAGAGGCUUCUUUCACUAAUUUGCAUAAAGGUUAGCCCAGAAAUGACAGUGGUAGCAUGGAGAUGGAGCAAAGUAGACAGAUUUGGGAUAUACUUUGGUGGCAGAAUAAACCGGACUUAAUUAACUGGAGUGCAGGUUAGAGAGAGAAAGAGGUCACAAAUGAAUACCAGGUUUCUGCUGGGAACCAGUGAACAGUUGGAAAUGCCAUUUGUAGAGAUAGGCUAGAUGGAAGAUUUGAGGGUAAAGAGUGUAGUUGUCAGUUUCAGAAGAAUAAACUCCUCUGAGAUAUGACCUAACCCUCCCAGAAGGAAUGAUUUGCAUCUUCCUUUGGGAGGACAACUCAUCCUCUUCCCUUGCUGGGUUUACCCAAAAGGUGGUGGUGCUUGAGGGUGGAGGGGGGUAGGAGUAGUCUUACGAGAUGGGCACUCCUAUCCACUUGAAACUCAAGAUACUAACUCAGACCUGUAGCAAAAAUAGAGUAAGACUCUAGAAUAAAGCUGAUGCUCUUGGAUAUUUUCAAUCUUUUAUUGACAGGUACACAGGGAGUGGCAAAGGAGAUUUUUACAUGAAAUUAUGAGUACAGACCAGGCACUGUGGCUCAUUCCUGUAAACCCAGCACUUUGGGAGGCUGAGGCGGGUGGAUCACCUGAGGUCAGGAGUUCAGGACCAGCCUGGCCAACAUGGUGAAACCCCGUUUCUACUAAAAAUACAAAAUUAGGUGGGCGUGGUGGCGGGUGCCUGUAAUCCCAGAUACUCAGGAGGCUGAGAUAGGAGAAUCGCUUGAACCCAGGAGGCGGAGGUUGCAGUGAGCCAAGAUCAUGCUGCUGCACUCCAGCCGGAGCAACAGAGUGAGACUCGAUCUCAAUUAAAAAAAAAAAGAAAAGAAAUUAUGAGUACAUUCCCCUGUAUAUAUAUAUUUUUU
rnacentral:lncRNA from 1 species